UGCCUCAGCCUCCCGAGUAGCUGGGACUACAGGCGACCGCCAUGACGCCCGGCUAAAUUUUUGUGUUUUUAGUAGAGACGGGGUUUCACCGUGUUAGCCAGGAUGGUCUCGAUUUCCUGACCUCGGGAUCCACCCGCCUCGGCCUCCCAAAGUGCUGGGAUUACAGGUGUGAGCCACCGCGCCCGGCAGAUAUAUCUUAUUUUUAAAAUCCACAUUAUUGAGUAAAAUCUCACAGUGGAAGGCAUGAGAUCCUGGCUUUGCCAGGCAAAAUUGGACCUGGAAGUAAGCCAAGUGAGGCUGCAGCAGCGGAGGGUCAACCUUCUGCACAGAGCAGCAGUGGAAGUGGUCAUCUUUGGAGGAAAACAUGGAGGCUGCUGUGUCCAGUUCUGAAUCUGUGAUGGUGGUGUAACAUGGCUAGUACUUCGAAAACUUUGAAGAGCCCUUAGUGAUGCUGUUUGCAGCCCUUCAGUCCUAUUCAACACCUCCAAAGGAAAUGGGAGAUGAAAAAGACAUGGCUUUCUAACAAGGAGAAGACUGAGCUCCAAACAAGUCAUAAUCCUAGAGACAGGUACCUGGGCAAGAGCAAGAGUGAACAGAACACUGACUA
rnacentral:lncRNA from 10 species